AAACUUCAGACCUUCGGCUUUCUAACGCCAACCUCUCUCUUCCCUCCUUCGUCUCUUCCUCUCCUUAUUUAUGUGAAUCACUCCUUCAUACCUCAUCAAUAUUUCCCCUCCUUUUGCUCUUCCUAUCUUUCACGGUUUCAAAACUUCAGAAUUGUAGCUUUCUCUUCCCUCCUUCGUCUCUUCCUCUCCUCAUUUAAUUGAAUCAGAAAACAAUAUAUUUAAAGAAGAGCUCAGAAAUACUGAUAGACUUCACUUCAGUAAUUCAAUCAACACUCUGUUUCCUAUCCGUAUCCUUUUGCGAGAGGCAAAUUGGUCCGACCACAGGCCUAAGUUCAAGGCCACCGUCAACUUUAAUGGCGAGGAGUUGUUAGCUGCCUCCUCUGUACGAGCUGUCAAUAUCUACAUUGGCUACAAGAGAAAAGCUCAAAAAUUAGGGUAAAGAAAAUUACCCCAAUCUGUGAUUAUUUGAAGCUAAGGUUAUACAACUUCAGGAGAUUGGAGGAAGAAUGUAUCCACCUUCCUUGUGCAGGCUGUGAGGAAAGAACAUAUCAAGAUUCAUUGUUUUUGAAUAGCUGCAGCUUGCAGGGUUAAUUUUUCUUUCGCUUUUAAAUAUAUCAGUGGACAUAUUGGAGAGUGGAUUAUGGUUUGGGGUUGUAAGCAAUGAGCACCAGUUCUACUUGCCAAUGAAAGCAAGAAAGAAUCAGAGUCAUCAACAAAAAAUCAUAACGUGGUAAUUCUAAGUGGGUUUGAUGUCCUUAAUUUUGUCAUCAUUGUCAAUGUUUUUGGUGACUGUUUUGGUUGUUUGUGGUGAUUUUUUUUUUUUUUUUUUUCAUAUAAUUUGGUUUUUGUUUUAUUUUUUGAUGUCCUUAAUCCAACAGUUUUUAUUUUAUUUUUUUAUUAUAUAUAUUUUUAUAUGGAUGACCAAAUAUGUGAUUUUUAGAGACUUUUCUGGGCUUUGGAUGUUGGAUUAUCUUCUCACAAUUUUAAUUGAGCAUCUAUUUGGGUGUUGAGGAAAAAAAAAGUGAAGCAAAAGUAAAUGGAAGCACAAUCAAUUGUGAAGGUUCUUUUUAGAUACCUUUGUGAAUUAUGAAUUUUGCUUUGUUAAUUUGCCAAUUGUGGAUUACUUUGUACGUUUUGGUAGGUAUUCUUUUUAGAGAGAUUUAACAAAGCAAUGACCUAUAGCUUUGUGUUUUUUUUUCUUCUAAUAAACGUAUUUUUUAUGUUAUUUCUACUAAGAUGUUUCUAUGGUAUUCUAUUCUAUUUCACUUGUGUUGGUUAUUUCAAUCCAACAUAUUUGGGAACUCUCAUACCAUCAUUCAUAUGGGAAGAAAACCGUAAUAACUUCUUCUUUCGUUGUAGAUGCUUUCAUUUUUUUUUCCAUGUUUGUAGUUGUACAUCAUUAAGCAAGGGUUACAGAUGAUUCUUUAUUCAUUGUUUAUUUUUUUUCCUUAUUUCUUUUUGGUAGUAAGCUUAAUUUAAUUACUGCAUUUGAAGUUUUUUUUCUCCUUUGUUCUUUCUUAUGUUAAGGUUUCGGUUUGUCCUUUAUAUUAAGCUGUAAAUGCGUAAUAGUUUCUUUGAAAUCUUAUCUAGAUUUUAUUUAUAGUCAUAAGUUCAACAUAAUUUAUUCAAAGAAACUCCUAUUAAUUAUUUUUUUUCCUAAGUUAUUGAAUCAAACAUGCAUCCAAAAUCUGUUUUAAAUGGAAAUAAUUCAACUGAUGAUUAUUUGCCCUUUUUUUUCUAGACUAGAGAGAAAUGUUUACAUUGAAUUGUGUACCUGAUGGUGCACUCCCACACAUAGAUAGCAUGGAAGAAAACCAUAAACUGGAGUUCUAUGGAGUUCUUGAAAACUUGCCUCAAGUUAUGAUUAGGAGUUCUAUGAUGAUUGUAUGUAACUUAUUAUAGAACAUGGUGGAAAAAUUGAAUCUAAAGGAAAGAGGAAGCAUUUUGGUUGAGAGCAAGUGUCACAUAUGUCUCAAAGGCUAUUAGCGCAUGUUGACAAGUUUGGGGUUUGAUGGUGCCAUAGAAAUUUCAGUGGAAUUCUUCUCUCAGUUGCUAAGCUAUCAUGUAUGUAAAUUAGGCUACUUAUUGAAAAAGAAAAUUGUAAAGUAGGCCAGAUAUUGAAGGUUCUUGCUGAAUGCUAUAGUUACUAAAAGUUAUGUUUAGCUACUAAACUAUUUGAGAUGUUCCUUAAAAUUUUGGGAUAUAAGUUAAUAAGAAACGUCUUUUAUAUUAUGCUUUCA